AUGUAUUCUGCUUUGCCAAUACACAGCUUGGCUAUAGACGCUACUGGAGGGGAGUACCAUGGGUCCUUGGACGGCACCAACUUGCCGGGGGAUGCCUGUCUUGUGCUCACCACCGAUCCCAAGCCCCGUCUCCGGUGGACGGCGGAACUCCAUGAGAGAUUUGUUGAUGCCGUCACACAACUCGGUGGCCCUGACAAAGCGACGCCAAAAACAAUCAUGAGAACAAUGGGAGUUAAAGGCUUGACUUUGUACCAUUUAAAGUCUCAUCUGCAGAAAUACCGCCUGGGAAAGCAAGCAAACAAGGAGUUAACUGACAACUCAAAAGACGCAUCUUGUGCGGCCGAGAGUCAGGAUACAGGUUCAUCUACGUCAGCUUCGUCAAGAAUGAUGGCACAAGAUAUAAACGACGGUUACCAGGUGACUGAGGCUUUGCGCGUGCAGAUGGAAGUUCAGCGACGGCUGCAUGAGCAGCUUGAGCAGGUUCAACGCCGUCUUCAGAUCCGAAUUGAAGCACAAGGCAAGUACCUACAGUCAAUCCUUGAGAAAGCUUGCAAAGCACUUGAUGAUCAGGCAGUGGCCUCUGCCGGGCUAGAGACGACUAGGGAAGAGCUCUCGGAACUAGCAAUCAAGGUUGCGAACGACUGUCAUGGAAUGUUGCCAGUCCCUCCUGCAACCCAUGUUACCUCAGAUAUGGAUAAAAGAAACGCUCCAAUAAUUCCUGCUCGGCUAGGCGACUGUUCCACGGACAGCGGGUUGAUCUCAAAUGGAAGCCCAAUAUCUUCAUCGGCAGCGGAGUCACAGGCUGCUGCACUCAAGAAAAGGCCACGCCCAUUGUUCAGCACCGGAGACUCAGUGCCUCUUGACAGCAAUAUGAGAGCAGUGGAGUGGAUGCUAUGAUGUCAAGUAUUGGAGAAGCAACGGUGGUGGAUAUGUCGAUUUCGAGAACAAAGCCAGUUCUCUUUUCUUUACCGUUUCUGCUGUGCGAACUAUCGAUGGUUUUGUACAUUCUUCCAAGAAGAUCAUAGAAAGCUUAAUUCCACUAAAUUUCACCCUCCUCUGUAUUUAUCGGGACGAUUUUUAAAUAUUUAUAUUGGAAAGUUUGAAUGAGUUUGAAACCAAACAAGCUCCAAAGCAGCAAAAUGGAUUAGAUUUUGCUCCAUUGCAGAAAUUUCUGAAAGAAGGUCAGAAAUGAUGCUACAUAACUUCAGUGGAGAUGUAACAUUUCUUGCCAACCUAUCUAUUACAAAUAGUAUAUGAACAUUUAACAACGUUGUUAAGUAGAACGUUGAAGCAUGUUUGAUUGAACUUAUAAACACUUUAAACACUUCAAAAUUAACACACACACAAAGAGAAAAUUCGGAAAAGAGAAUGAAAGUUUUGAUUAAACACGCAAAAACGUGACUGGGGCCACCAUCUGAAUUUUGAAUUUAUGCCAGUAACACUUUUUCUACUUUGUGUUCUGUGUGUAAAGGGUGGAGUGAAUGGCUUUCUUGUAGUCAAAACCCACAAUCCCAUUUCCACUAUACGGAAAGAAGAAAGAAAAAGUUCUCAUUCUGAGCCAUCACAGUUUUUCUACAUUUUCUUGCACCCCAUUUCCGCUUUCACUUUUCUUUAAAGAAGGAAGUUAGGAUUAGUACAUACUGGAAAGUUAGAAUGAGCUUCUGUACUUUAUUGGGUCUUUCACUGUCAAAGCCAUGAAAGAUUCAAAAGGCAAGUCUUCUUUUUUUGUCAUGAUCUGAUUAUAUUGUUUGCAUUACUGUCCUUUAGUAUUACUGUGGGCAAGAAUCUUUUAUGUGUAUUUUGAAGGUCAAGAAUGCAUUAGUUGGCUGAUUUACAGUGGAAGUCUUAUACUGUUUACGAGAUGUUUGUUGAUAUGCAUGAAUGUGAGUGUCUGUGUUAAGUUCUUGUAGCUUCCAGAAAUGUGUAUGUAGUUGGGGGUUUGGUGGGUGGGUGUGUUAUGGCCGUUUAUGGCAUUUUGAUAUAAAUAGUUUGAUAGAAAUUGAUUACCAGUUUUCAUAUCAAGAAUUCUAUUAGCUCUAAGGAAAUAUUGGUAUUAGGAUGUACAUUAUUCCUACUGCUUUUAGUUAUACAGGGGAUGUUGAGACGUCACGUCAAAAGAUAAUGUACCAAACAUUUCAAUCUUUUUUGUUAGUUAUGUCAAAGGUAUUUGAAGAUUGAAUCAGAGCAGCACCAAAAGAUUGGAAAAAAGUGUGAAUAAUUAGGAAGGAUGAACAGUUUAUUUAUUAUUGUUUUGGAAAUCUUAGAAGAUUUGAGAUGAAGUCCAUUACAAUAGAAGGUAACUUCUUUCCAUUUAUGUAAGAGCACGAGGUUGUGAAUGGCAUGAGUUCUUGUUACCUCUAUUAAGAUGAUUUUUCUGUAUCAUGUUUGCUGCUAUGUUUGAGAUCAAGUUACGUCUUGUUAGCUUAAAUAUGGCCGAAGAUAUUCAUCUGUUAUGCGCACAUCCCAUUUGUGGUUUAUUCUCCGAGCUGCUUUAUUUUCUUUGCUGCCAAAUAUCAAUAUUUCAGUGCAUGUGUAUGCUGAAGGCAAAAUAUGAGGAGAUGUUGAUGCAAAUAAUCCCUGCAAAGAUGGUUGGCCCUAUAACUCAAGAGUUACUGUUAAUGGUUGUUGACACAAGUUCCUUCUGGCUUUUUAGCUCACCUCAGUCAUCCUCAGUGCUGAAGUCAUUUUAAAGUACAACAAAUACUUCUGCAACAAUUAAGAGAAGUGCUUCAAGACUAGCAAUUUCAGAUCAACUGAUAGCGGAAUAUAUAAGAAAUUUCCUUAGUUCAGAGGACUGAUGGAGAUUAGAGGUGUUUAUGAACAUUAAACUGAAUCCCAAUACUGGAAGGACUAUAUUUUUCGUUU